AACUGAGACAAUGUAGAUUAAAUGUCUUGUCAAAGGACACAGAUAGGUAGCAUGGGAAGGAUUUGAACCCAGGUCGACAUUUUGGUCAGCCCAAUAC